rnacentral:lncRNA from 1 species
CGCAGGCAUUUAUUUCCAAGGCACUGGCCUCUCUGGUGUCUGAAAAAUCCCAUGUUGUAACUGCAUCAGGGCCCUUAGCCCAUUCCUUAACUUCGGCCCUUAACUGAACAAAGUUCUUUACUUGUUCAUUGCAGUACUCAGGGCCAACCCUACUAGCAGAUAUCAGUAUCUCCUCAAAAAAUACGUGAAAUAUGAGAUUCAAAGCCAGGCAGCCAAUGCAAAGCGAAGCCUUAAUAGCGGUCAACAUUGUUACUCUAAUUAUUAUACCAUCAUCUCCCUCGAGUUCCAUCGAGUAUCCUUGGCAGGUGCAGCCCCGCGCCCAGGGCUCUCAGCGGUUUCCGAGGCCUCACGCGCUGGCUGGGCCGUUAAGAUCGGUUGGGGGCUCCCAGGCCGCGAGGCGCGCGGCCAGUUGGGAUGAAAAUGGCGGAUGAGGCCGGGCGCGGUGGCUCACGCCUGUGGUCCCAGCACUUUGGGAGGCCGAGGCGGGCGGAUCACAAGGUCAGGAGAUCCAGACCAUCCUGGUUAACACUGUGAAACCCCGUCUCUUCUAAAAAUACAAAAAAAAAUUAGCCAGGCGUGGUGGCGGGCGCUUGUAGUCCCAGCUACUCAGAAGGCUGAGGCAGGAGAAUGGCGUGAACCCGGGAGGCACAGCUUGCAGCGAGCCAAGAUGGCGCCGCUGCACUCCAGCCUGGGCGACAGAGCGAGACUCCAUCUCAAAAAAGAAAAGAAAAGAAAAGAAACCGGCGGACGAAGGAAGAGAUCCUCCUUCAGGCAGGGUAGGGAAGAACGGCACUCGGUGACCAGAGACCUUUUCCAGGACCAUGUCUUUGAAGCAUAUCUCAGCUCUUGUCUUCCGGAAGCGAUGGAGACAGAAUCCAGAAGCCUGAGCAGACUCUCUCCUUUCCUGGCUUUGAUGAAGCAAGCUGCCACACUGGAGAGGCCUACAUGAUAAGGACCUGAAGGUGGCCUCCAGCUAGCUCCAGCCAACAGUUGGCAAGGAAUUGAGGACCUGAGUCCAAUAGACCUUGAGGAACUGAAUCCUGCCAACAGCUACACAAGUGAGCAUGGCAGUGUAUCCUUCCCCAGUAAAGUCUUCAGAUGAGACCCCAGCCCCAGCUGACACCUUGAUUGCAGCCUUGUGAGAGACUCUGAAGCAGAGAAACCAGCUAGGCCUUGCCUGGAUUCCUGAUCCACAAACUGUAAGAUAAUAAAU